rnacentral:rRNA from 1 species
AGCAGUCGCCGCGGGAAUACGAAGGGGGCUAGCGUUGCUCGGAAUGACUGGGCGUAAAGGGCGCGUAGGCGGCGAUCAAAGUCAGGCGUGAAAUUCCUGGGCUCAACCUGGGGGCUGCGCUCGAUACUUGGUUGCUUGAGUGGGGAAGAGGGUCGUGGAAUUCCCAGUGUAGAGGUGAAAUUCGUAGAUAUUGGGAAGAACACCGGUGGCGAAGGCGGCGACCUGGUCCUUGACUGACGCUGAGGCGCGAAAGCGUGGGGAGCAAACAGGAUUAGAUACCCCCGUAGUCCCUGUCUCUUAUAC